UUUUUUUUUUUAAAUUUGUGGAAGGUUCUCCAUUUAUUUGCUGGUCCCAAUUUUUUUCUAAUAAAAACUGGUAAUCCUUUAUACAUAUAUGCAUUAAUUAAAUUAAUAAGUACAGGCAUUCAAUCCACAAUUCACAUAGUUUUCAUGCACUUGGAUUAUGCUGUUAUUUUAUCUGGGCUGUUUAACUUCACCAAAAAUUGUAAUUUACAUCUAUUGCAUUCUUUGUUCUUUUUGGCCCAUAUAUUUUGAAAUUAUUAUCAAAUAUUGUGUACUUACAUAGAAUAAAAAUUCAAACCGUGGAGUUUAUAUCUAGACUGAAAUCCUGUUCAAAAUUGUAGUGCAUGUGAUUUUAAAAUUGGAAUAUUCUUUUUAUUGAAUGAUAGAUUUCAAGUCUUUAAAAUAUUGUGAAGAUUCUAAUUUUGUUACAUGAGUUGAUUUGGUACUUCAGUGAAUUAGACAUUCAAAAAUCAAAUGUUUAAGCCAAGCACAGAAUUUUGAUGUAUAGUUUCAUUCAUGUUAUUGACAGGUCAUUUCACUGACUAUUCAUUUAUGCCUUAGACAAUUUCUCCAACUUUAUCACUGCUUUUUUAAUUCAUAAAACUUAAUUAAAAAUAAUAACAAAAUUAUAAUGCUAAGUACUGUAAUUUGCAAUAAAUUAAUAGUAUUGGAAGAAGAAUUAAACUAAUUGUCAAAUGUGUUAGUAAUAUAUUCAUUUUUGUAAAGUGAAGUUGACAAUUAAAAAUCUUUUAUUAGAAUAUCAUGUAACUUUUCUUUUUAAUCUUAAAAGGGCUAAAACAAAGCUUUUUUGAUAUUCAUAUGAAUUUUUGUGUCCUUCUCUUGAUUAAUAAUUUUAAGAUUUUAUGCCAGCAUCUCUAUCCAUUUAAUUUAAUUUUAAAUCCAAAUGUAAUAUUCUUCUUUCACAUUAGGUGCAAGAUGCCAACAUAAUUGUUGCUGCUGUUGGCCAAGCUCAAAUGGUAAAAAAAGACUGGGUCAAACCUGGAGCUGUGGUUAUUGAUUGUGGAAUUAAUAGUAUUAAAGAUGAGACCAAGGCUUCUGGCUCUUGGCUAGUAGGUCAUGUAGACUAUGAAGGAGUUAAAGAGGUAGCCUCAUGGAUUACACCAGUUCCCGGUGGUGUUGGACCAAUGACUGUUAUAAUGUUAGUUGAAAAUACAGUUAAGGAUAGCUCUUAAUGCUAAGAUAGCUCUUAAUACGGGUAAAUAAAUUAAAUCAAUUAGAUUAUGAUCAAUAUAUGUAGCGCCAUUUGGGAUUCAUAGCCUUCUAGUUUUGAUAAAGAUGAUGUGAAUAGAUUUGUACAUAGCUAUGUCUAUUUUUAAUAAAAAGAUUUUUGUUUGAAA